UACGUAGGGUGCACGCGUUAAUCGGAAUUACUGGGCGUAAAGCGUGCGCAGGCGGCUUUGCAAGACAGAUGUGAAAUCCCCGGGCUCAACCUGGGAACUGCAUUUGUGACUGCAUGGCUGGAGUGCGGCAGAGGGGGAUGGAAUUCCGCGUGUAGCAGUGAAAUGCGUAGAUAUGCGGAGGAACACCGAUGGCGAAGGCAAUCCCCUGGGCCUGCACUGACGCUCAUGCACGAAAGCGUGGGGAGCAAACAGG
rnacentral:rRNA from 1 species